GUCAAAUUAAAUUUACUUCGAACAUCUUUCAUUGGAGGUACAAUGCGGCUGGGUUCUAGUUUGCAGCGUAAUUUAGCUCCGUGUAAUCGGUAUCCUACAAUAAAUAAGUGCAACUCCAGGAAGUGUUUAUGUUGCAAGUUUUUAAAUAUGUCCUCUUUUAUUCUUUCAUCGGUUAAUAACCGCAAAUUUUCAGUUAAUAUUAAAUCCGAUGUCUCAUGAAAUUCUA